UUGUAGCAGGCAGGAGUUUUGUAAAUAAAUUUUGUAAAUAUAGCAUGUUAAUAAUUGAAUUGAAAUAGAUUGUAAGAAUAAAAGAAUUCCCUUUAAUGAAUUCGAAUUGUAUUUAGUUCCUUAUAGUAGGCAAACGAGCACUUAAUGAGGUGCAAACGCUUCCUUGGGUCGAGGCCAUUUGUUUUCUUGAUAAGGUGGGAAAGAGAAGGCAGCACGGCUAUCGUUCAAGUUAUCCAACGUAGCUGUGUAGUCACGAAAGUACACGAAGGGUUUCGGGAAAUGACGUACUUCCGGGUGCGUCCGAGAUACACUUUCCCUUAUCUGAGGCUUCAAAGACUCGAUCAUUUCGUCCGUGAUCGUUUAAGGAAUUGGAAGUGUCCGCGUUUGUUAUUUAGUUUUCGUGUGCCAAUAGUAGGUCUUUUUAAAGUGAUGUUUAAUAAAGUUAGAUGAUUAAAUAGUUGUUUCGUUCUACAGUAGGCUAAUCGGUGUGCGUUAGAAAUUGUGUGCGAUUUGGAGUUCUUAGUUAGCUCAGAAGCGAGUUUUUCCAAUCCGCAGUUCUUCGCAUCCAAGCGCAACCACUUCUUCCCCGACGGACGAGAAAUACCCGGCAUCCGUCAUACGGCCGGAAGCGGACGGAUCCGUUACCAUAUCGGUCCGAGAAGGCCUGGGGACCUUCAGGUGGACGAGGUCUUCCACCAGCUAGUUCGCCAAUUGACUAGCGGGCGCUGUCAAUAGCCCAGUGAAGCGUAAGUCAACCGCCAUUGCGAAGACGAGCCGAUCAACGAACUCCGCCAUCAAUCAACCAAACCGGCGCGGUGGUGAGAGCAACGACCCGGCCUACAGGUCAUCGACUACCAAGUAGUAAGCUGUACCGAUCGGUGAGUCAACCAAUUUCUUUUUUUUGCGGAGUGCGGCGUCCGCUGAGGGCGCCGCGGAGGAUUUUUUUGUACCAGUCAAAGACUGAAGAAGUGCUGCUAAAGCCAACCAACAUCUUUUUCGGAGAUCGGAAUUCCUUCCGACAACGUCUUCGGAGCCUCCGGUUCCGUGAAAAUGCGUGCGUGAGCCGUCUUGCCACCACUGCAGAAAAAGUCGAACACCCGGAGCGCAGACAUCGACGCAGUCGAGCUUCGAUUCCAUGUGACGUCACGAAUGAGAGCACUGAGCACAGUUAGAUAGAGAAGGAGGAGCUAGGGAAUCGCACACCAGCUAGGAAGUGUAGAAGUAGAACGAACACAAACACACAGAAUGAUUUCCAACUCGAGUUGUAGCCAAUAAAUAUGUAUGUUAUCCUAGUUGUUAAGUGAAUAUAUUUCGUAUCCGUCCCUGAAUAAAUGUGUCAACAUGU